rnacentral:lncRNA from 1 species
AUGAAGAUCCUCAAGGGAAGGCUAAGAAAAUUCCUCUUCCUUCCAAAACUGCCUUGCAGGAUCAGUGGAAAAUUUCUGUUCAGAACAGGAUCCUUGGCAAGGAUACACCACCACCAGAAGCAAACCUGUAGCCUCCAGACUCAUAUAGGGUGGAGGAAGAAGCAAGACAAGGCCAAAAAGGAGGAUGUAAAAGGCAGCUUGCAGUAUGACUUUAAAACAGCGAUUACAGCAGUACUGCAUAUUGCAGGCAUCCUGGGACUCUCCUGCUUUCUUCUGGUGCCAGGCUGUCACUGUGAUCUCACUGCUGUCCUCCAUCAGGUCCACAUGCAGGAACCAUUCUACUGUUUGCAGCAUGGAGCUGAGAAGUGUUACUUUACAUGACUAUCUGCUUACACAGCGUUGUCGCUGGGGAGAAAGAAGCUAAUCAUUGUACGUGUGCAGAUUGUGGCACAUGGGAUAAAGAUACCAGAAAUAAGUUUCAGCCAGCAGCUAAGGUGGUUGUCAUCUCCAUAUCAGCAUGAAACUCAGUGCAGACUUUCUGAGAAGGAAAG